CCUACGGGUGGCUGCAGUGAGGAAUAUUGGUCAAUGGGCGUAAGCCUGAACCAGCCAAGUCGCGUGAGGGAUGAAGGUUCUAUGGAUUGUAAACUUCUUUUAUAAGGGAAUAAAGUGUGGGACGUGUCCUAUUUUGUAUGUACCUUAUGAAUAAGGAUCGGCUAACUCCGUGCCAGCAGCCGCGGUAAUACGGAGGAUCCGAGCGUUAUCCGGAUUUAUUGGGUUUAAAGGGUGCGUAGGCGGCCUUUUAAGUCAGCGGUGAAAGUUUGUGGCUCAACCAUAGAAUUGCCGUUGAUACUGGGGGGCUUGAGGAUGUUUGAGGCAGGCGGAAUGCGUGGUGUAGCGGUGAAAUGCUUAGAUAUCACGCAGAACCCCGAUUGCGAAGGCAGCCUGCCAAGCCAUGACUGACGCUGAUGCACGAAAGCGUGGGGAUCAAACAGGAUUAGAUACCCUGGUAGUC
rnacentral:rRNA from 1 species